ensembl:snRNA U6 U6 spliceosomal RNA
GUGCUCGCUUCAGCAGCACAUAUACUAAAAUUGGAACGAUACAGAGAAGAUUAGCAUGGCCCCUGCGCAAGGAAACCUAGAAGAAAACCUUGGAAACACCAUUCU